AGACGGAGGGAGCAAGCGUUGUUCGGAUUUACUGGGCGUAAAGGGCGUCUAGGCGGGCUGAUAAGUCAGAUGUGAAAUACCUCGGCUCAACCGGGGAACUGCAUUUGAUACUGUCGGUCUUGAGUACGGAAGAGGAAAGCGGAAUUCCUGGUGUAGCGGUGAAAUGCGUAGAUAUCAGGAAGAACACCGGUGGCGAAGGCGGCUUUCUGGUCCGUUACUGACGCUGAAGCGCGAAAGUGUGGGGAGC
rnacentral:rRNA from 1 species